rnacentral:rRNA from 1 species
UUUAAAGGAAUUGACGGGGGCCCGCACAAGCGUGGAGCAUGUGGUUUAAUUCGAAGCAACGCGAAGAACCUUACCAGGUCCUGACAUCCCGAUGCUAUUUCUAGAGAUAGAAAGUUACUUCGGUACAUCGGUGACAGGUGGUGCAUGGUUGUCGCCAGCUCGUGUCGUGAGAUGUUGGGUUAAGUCCCGCAACGAGCGCAACCCUUAUCAUUAGUUGCUACGCAAGGGCACUCUAAUGAGACUGCCGGUGACAAACCGGAGGAAGGUGGGGAUGACGUCAAGUCCUCAUGGCCCUUAUGGGUAGGGCUUCACACGUCAUACAAUGGUCGGUACAGAGGGUAGCCAACCCGCGAGGGGGAGCCAAUCCCACAAAGCCGGUCGUAGUCCGGAUCGCAGUCUGCAACUCGACUGCGUGAAGUCGGAAUCGCUAGUAAUCGUGGAUCAGCAUGUCACGGUGAAUACGUUCCCGGGUCUU